UCAGGAUGAACGCUGGCGGCGUGCUUAAUACAUGCAAGUCGAACGAAGUUAUCUCGCUGAGGCGAGCUUGCUCAAUUCUUGAGAUAACUUAGUGGCGGACGGGUGAGUAACGCGUGGGUAACCUGCCUUACACAGGGGGAUAACAGUUAGAAAUGACUGCUAAUACCGCAUAAGCGCACAGUAUCGCAUGAUACAGUGUGAAAAAACUCCGGUGGUGUAAGAUGGACCCGCGUCUGAUUAGCUAGUUGGUGAGGUAACGGCCCCACCAAGGCGACGAUCAGUAGUCGGCCUGAGAGGGUGAACGGCCACAUUGGGACUGAGACACGGCCCAAACUCCUACGGGAGGCAGCAGUAGGGAAUAUUGGACAAUGGGGGAAACCCUGAAUCCAGCGACGCCGCGUGAGUGAAGAAGUAUUUCGGUACGUAAAGCUCUAUCAGCAGGGAAGAAAAUGACGGUACCUGACUAAGAAGCACCGGCUAAAUACGUGCCAGCCGCGGC
rnacentral:rRNA from 1 species